rnacentral:misc_RNA from 1 species
ACGUUUCUUUGGGUCUUGUCAAUGGUGCUAAAGGCAUUGUUGACAAAGUAGAAUGGGAUUCGAACGACAAGAAUAAAGCAAGAAGAGUUGUAAUAAUUUUUAAUAGCGGUCUUAGACACGAACCUGUGAAAUCGAAAUUUGAAAUUAUCAAUAGAGCAUUCGUUCACCGUGAACAGUUUCCAAUCUGUGUCGCGUAUGCUAUCACCAUACAUAAAAGUCAAGGGCUAAGUUUGAAUAAUGCUCUCAUUGAUAUUGGGUCAUCCACGUUCUCUUGUAGGUAUGCUUAUGUAGCACUCUCUAGAGUGACUAAUUUGCAAGGUUAUUAAAGCACAACAGUCAGCUAUAGUCGAAUAUAAUCGCCUAAGAGCCAAGUAUCGCCCUGAUGUAUCGCUUAUUAUAAACAGUAAACCAACAAAGAAAAAAGGCAAAUAUAGAGAGUG